UACGGAGGGUGCAAGCGUUGUCCGGAAUCACUGGGCGUAAAGGGCGCGCAGGCGGUCUUCCAAGUCAGUGGUGAAAGCCCGGAGCUCAACUCCGGAAUUGCCAUUGAAACUGUUAGACUUGAGUACGAGAGAGGUGAGUGGAAUUCCCAGUGUAGAGGUGAAAUUCGUAGAUAUUGGGAAGAACACCAGUGGCGAAGGCGGCUCACUGGCUCGUAACUGACGCUCAGGCGCGACAGCGUGGGGAUCAAACAGG
rnacentral:rRNA from 1 species